GACGAACUGUCCUAACGUUGUUCGGAAUCACUGGGCUUAAAGGGCGCGUAGGCGGUCCGACAAGUCAGGGGUGAAAUCCUGGAGCUCAACUCCAGAACUGCCUUUGAUACUGAAGAUCUUGAGUCCGGGAGAGGUGAGUGGAACUGCGAGUGUAGAGGUGAAAUUCGUAGAUAUUCGCAAGAACACCAGUGGCGAAGGCGGCUCACUGGCCCGGUACUGACGCUGAGGCACGAAAGCGUGGGGAGCAAACAGGG
rnacentral:rRNA from 1 species